rnacentral:rRNA from 1 species
AUUGAACGCUGGCGGCAGGCCUAACACAUGCAAGUCGAACGAGUGGCGGACGGGUGAGUAAUGUCUGGGAAACUGCCUGAUGGAGGGGGAUAACUACUGGAAACGGUAGCUAAUACCGCAUACCAUCAGAUGUGCCCAGAUGGGAUUAGCUUGUUGGUGGGGUAACGGCGCACCAUGGCGACGAUCCCUAGCUGGUCUGAGAGGAUGACCGGCCACACUGGAACUGGGACACGGUCCGGACUCCUACGGGAGGCAGCGGUGGGGAAUAUUGCACAAUGGGCGCAAGCCUAAUGCGGCCAUGCCGCGUGUGUGAAGAAGGCCGUCGGGUUGUAAAGUACUUUCAGCGGGGAGGCGUUACCCGCAGAAGAAGCACCGGCUAACUCCGUGCCAGCAGCCGCGGUAAUUC